UCUUGCAUAAGGCAGUUCAAUUUCGAAACCCUAAUAACUUUUCAGGUCGCUGCCAUGGGAAAGAAACGAAAGCUGGAGGAGGGCAUGCCAUCUCCCGCCGCCUCCGAUGCUUCCGAAGAACAGGUAUCUGUCCACGAGGAAUCACCCUUCGAGAAAGAAUCAGAUACUCCCUUAAUCAUUCAACCCAAAACCGAAGUAUCUUGGCCACCGGAGUCUGAUGCUCCCAUACUCAUUGAACCGAAAACCGAAGUAUGGCCGCCGGAGUCUGAUACUUCCUUACUCAUUGAACCCAAAACCGAAGUAUCUUGGCCGCAGGAGAUCGGAGAACCAAUCGACGAACCGUCACUCAUCGAGGAAGAUACCGAACCUCUAACCCUAGAAACCGCAGAUCCAGAUCCGAAUACUUCUGUUGCUGGCGAGGUCCCUUUCGCCGACGAUCACGAAGACGAUGAGGAUAAUAACCCGGAGUCCUUGCAGAUGCUUCUUGAACCUUUCAGCAAGGAACAGGUGAUCGAUAUACUCCGCGACGCUGCCUUGAAGCAUCCGGAUAUCUGGGCGUCAAUCAAACAGAUCGCAGACCACGAUCCUGCUCACAGAAAGGUCUUUGUACACGGCCUCGGUUGGAACACUUCAGCUGAAACUCUCAUCGAGGCGUUUCGGCAAUAUGGAGAGAUCGAGGAAUGCAACGCUAUCGUUGACAAAAUCACCGGCAGGUCCAAGGGUUACGGCUUCAUCCUUUUCAAGCAGAGGAGUUCCGCUCGCCGAGCGUUAAAGGAGCCGCAGAAGAAAAUCGGUAAUAAGAUGACUGCAUGCCAGUUAGCAUCGGAGGGCCCUCCGCCUCCCUCUGCUCAAACUCCUGCAUUUCUUCAUCCUCCGCAGGGCUUUUUGCCAUCCGAGUACACUCAACGGAAGAUCUAUGUCAGCAAUGUGGGAGCUGAGCUUGACCCUAAUAAGGUUCUUCAAUUCUUUUCAAAGUUUGGGGAGAUAGAGGAAGGGCCUUUAGGGCUGGACAAAGCAACAGGAAAACCUAAGGGAUUCUGCCUAUUUGUUUACAAGACUGCUGAGAGUGCAAAGAAGGCAUUGGAAGAACCGCAUAAGAACUUCGAAGGGAAUAUAUUGCACUGCCAGAGGGCGAUUGAUGGUCCAAAGCUUAGCAAACAAGGGGCUCAUCUUUACCAUGGCGGUGGGCAAUUUGCUGGCAUGCAGCAGUUAAAGGGCGGGUUUGGAGCGCAGGGGACUGUGGCAAUGGGUGGUUUGCCCUCUUCAGUUUCUGGCCCAGGGCACCUAAUAGCUCCCCCUGGCAUACGUUUUAACCAGGCAGGCCAAUCUAAUCCAGCUUUAGGGCUUGGGGUAAAAAAUGCGGGGCUUGCGGCAAAUUCUGCACUUGGGAAUCAAGCAAGAGGAGCCGGGGGUUACGUGAAACCAGGUGCGGUGGGUGGCCAUGGAGCAUCAUUGAGGAUUCAUGGAAGCCAUGGCAAUGCAGCAGUGGGGCAGGGAAAUGCGUGGAACCAACAAGGCUUUAAUCAUGCGGGUGGUUUAGGUUCUUCCACGGGUCAGUAGUUGUCUACAAGAAAAGAGGUGGCUUGAAGAACUUGCCUCAACAUCCUACAAUGUUGCAGAAAUUUUGAUGCUUGGAGAGGCGUGUUAGUGGUAAAGUACUUGCCGAAGUGGCUACGUUCUUACCGAACCAUUGUCCUUGAACGCUCACUGGAACUCAGCAGAAGGGAAUAAAUGUUAUGUUGGUUUUAUUUGUUGUAAUUAACAUGACCAUCCCUUCUAUAUGUUUUCAUGACUGUGACAGUAGUUUGCAUAAUGCUUGUCAAUACAUAAAAACAAUAGAAAUGAAGUUAAUUAUUA